rnacentral:lncRNA from 1 species
GUCAGUCACAGCAGAACUUACACAGAUGGAAGGAAAAGAGAUUCCUUACAACAAAGGUUAGCACGCUGCAGGGUUAAAAACCUCAUUUUAAUAGAGAAGCAAACCAACCAGCUAGAGUUUCUCAUCCGUGCUAUUUGAUGGUUGGGUAGACCUAGUAAAAUCAUUAAAUAAUAGUUGACUCUGUCAAAUUAGAACUAAGAUAGCUAUUUUUAUAGAUCAAACUGUAUUUUUUUAAAUCAAAGAAAUGGCUUUCAUUUUCUUGAGUUUUUGGUAGCGAUUUGAUUUUUAAAAACAUCCUUGAGAUUAUGGUAAUUACGUCAUUUCCCACCCUCAUCUGCCCAAACAUGACCUGAGCACUGACAACAGAAAUCCACUCCCUAUGUGGAAGGAAUCGACACCUUGUGUGUGGAAUAAUCGACACCCUAAGCUCAGGAGACUCAACCGGAGACAAAGAACUGCAGAACUGCAAGCAACCAAGGAAUGCUGACAGCGGGAGAAAGUGUUCCCCCGGGAAGAGCACAGAAUUGUAAAAGGCAACUUUUCAGAAAACAAAGUUAGGAAUAUCUUGCCUUGGUUCCCUUUCAAACUUCCAUGAUGCCCGAGUAUUGUUUCCUUCAUUUUCUUAUUUGAGAAAUUAUUACUGAGAAGCAUUCCAUAUGGAAUAAAGAUUGAGUGGCUCUCAGUCUUGUAAGGCAAAAACAUCUGGAGUUACUCAGCCAUUAAUAAAAAAACUCCAGCGCAGUUCAGAAAUAAAUGCAGCACUAGGUGGCAGUGGAAGAUCGUGUCUCAGUGGCACUCCCUGCUCUUCGUUUUCUCCUAUAAUUCUCAAGGGGAAAGAGGGGAGCUGCGGGGGGAAUCAUGGCUACAGAGGGGUAGAGAUACCAUUCUGAUGUCUCUAGCCUCUCUUGCAGCUACAAGGAGGCAUCUGAUCCAGUUUGGGCCAAUAAAU